UGUUAAAAAAUCUCAUCAAUUUGUACUGUUAAAAAGUAGAGAUAAUGACACAUGGUGUGACACGUAUAUCUCAUGCUGAAACACAAAUACCGAUUUUUAACAGUAGAAAUUGAUGAAAUUUUUAACA
rfam:Gossypium arboreum cultivar AKA8401 contig_17044_7, whole genome shotgun sequence.